ACGUAGGGAGCAAGCGUUGUCCGGAUUUACUGGGUGUAAAGGGUGCGUAGGCGGAUCUGCAAGUCAGUAGUGAAAUCCCAGGGCUUAACCCUGGAACUGCUAUUGAAACUGUGGGUCUUGAGUGAGGUAGAGGCAGGCGGAAUUCCCGGUGUAGCGGUGAAAUGCGUAGAGAUCGGGAGGAACACCAGUGGCGAAGGCGGCCUGCUGGGCCUUAACUGACGCUGAGGCACGAAAGCAUGGGUAGCAAACAG
rnacentral:rRNA from 1 species